rnacentral:lncRNA from 1 species
AGGCAGCCCGUUUGUUUUGCGAGAAUAAUGUUUAAAAAUCCAGAAGGCUGAGAAUCAGACUCUUUAUUCAGUGCUAGAGAACUGGGAAGCUGACUGGAACUGAGGGCUGGCUUGGUAUAAUUUUGGUUAUCAACACAAUUUUGUGACUCUUAAAAAAUACUUCCUAGAAUGAAAAGUCCUUACCUGGUCAAGGUCAUUGCCAUGUGGCAUUAGGAAAUGCUUCUGCUCAACAGCUGGGUGUGGAGCUAGGGGGACUCUCAUUUCCUUGGACCUGCUAGACUUUGGGUUGCCUUUAAACUGGCUAUGUAUCAGGGCUGUCUGUCUGUGUGUCUGUACAUAUAUGUGUGUCUAUCUGUCUACGUCUGUCUGUCUCUCCCUAUGUAUGCAUGUGUAUAUGUGUGUGUCAGUGUGUGUGUGUGUCUCUCUCCUUGUCCUCCUCCCCGUGUCCUGUGUGUGUGUGUGUGUGUGUGUGUGUGUGUGUGUGUGUGUGUGUCUGCCGGCCCUUGUGUGUUGUAUAUAAUGGGUUACUGUUGGAUGGGCUGCAGUUCUAGUCCUGGGGCCAUGUUGGCUGAAGCUGUAGUGGAGAAUUAUGCAAAAGGGGUGAUAAUAGUGAUAGUUGGUAUCACGUUUUGAGCACUUUCUGUAGGCCAAAUACUGGUCAAAGCUCUUGGCUUAACAGAGUUAGUACUCGAAUUUAGUCAUUUUGACACCUCCAUUUUGCAAGGUGAGUUGAAAGAAGGGAAGGGAAGAGAUGGAGGGAAAAAGAGAAAGGAAGAGAGAGAAAAUUUGAAUAAAGUUCAGCAGAAGCUGCCUGUACCUAUUGAGAAUUUUGGGUCCACAGCUCAGGCAUUAUCACAGAGAUACCAAGGACUUGGUACUGGGCACAAUGUCUUCUUUAUCGUCUCCUAAUAAGUUCUGUUUGUUAGGAUUCUGUUGAAAGGGCCUGGCACUCUGCGGCCCCUUGCUUCUGUCUAUGAUCCCACAAUCACUGUUGCUGUAGGCAUUUUGCCCUAGAUUUUAAAUCAGGAAGCUCCUCCCUCCUUAAAAAAUUGUAUGUAUUUUACUUAAAAUUUUCCUGGAAGUAACAGAAAACUUACCUGAGGCUAUACAAGAAAGGACCUAAUGAUAAAGAUUCACAAAUAUGAGAGGCAUGGUGGUACCCGAAGCUAGGAAUUGACACAAGGUACCCUGGUGAGGUCUUCUAAUCCCACUCCCUGGUCUUAUUUCUGCUCCACUCUAUAUUUCCUGCUUCAUUCUUAACCUUGCAUUUACCUAUCUGUCUGUCCAUCUAUCCAUCCAUCCAUCCAUCCAUGCACCAUUCUGUUACACUAAAGAAUUUCAUGUAUUCCUGCCAGAGACAGCUUCAGCUCUCGGAGUCAUGUUCUAACUCACAGCUCAGACUGGAUUAAAAUUCUUUAUCUCAGUUUGAAUGUUCUGGGAAAGAGACUCAGGAAGCGUAGCCUUGUUCCAAUCAGUCGUGUGCUGGAGACACAACAGUUGUCUGCGUGGCCCUGAACAGAUACCUCCGAAGGUGGUCUUCCUGCAGUCAUAGAAUCAUUUUGUCACUUGUCCCAUCUUAGUGGAGCUCUGCUACAUAGCCAGGCCUUGCCUCAUCUAGUUGGGUGUCAGUUUCAACUCCCAGGAGCGACCUAGAAUGAGAAUGUUGAGAAGUGUCUCCCGCUCAGGGGCUAUGUGUUGCCAGAGAGCCAGGGCAGAAAGCUGACACAGGCAGUGGGUGACAGGAACCGAGGCAUGUGACGACAGGAAUUGUAUUAUUGCCAUGCACCAGCUCCUUGAACUCUGUGCCUGUAACUAAUACAGGGCGUGGGGACCGAGGGAUUUCUGAGUUGCUUUUAUUCCCUCAGGUGUUCAUGAUUCCUUGCUGAAGGCUGGCAUUUGUGGUUAGUUGAAUCAGAGACCAGAGAGAGGCACACCAGACAGACAAAGGGCUUGGCUUUGAAACUGAAGCCCAACCAGUCUCCUGGACAUUGGGUUUCCUACUACACAGGCCAGGGCAAAUCUGCCUUCAAAGAGCCAAAGCCACAGGUGACGCUCAGCAGAUACUUGGGCUCAGCUUCUAGGAAACUGGGUGCUAGGAGUCCUGACAUGGCUGUGCAUACAGAUUUUAAGUACAGAGAGAAUCCCCUGGCUGACUCUGCCAAGGUAGGAUUAGCGGAGCCCUCCCUGCCCUAAAAGUGGAUCACAGCCACCUUAAUCCAUUAUACAGUCCCUCCCUAAUAACACAGGAUUCCCCUAAAGGGUUUCAUCUUAUUUCACAGUAGUGUGGAUUGGGCAGGUAACCAUCAGAAGGGGGCCUUUGAGGUACUCCUCCUAGCUGCCAAGAUGUAGCACUCUCAGCUCCUUCUCCAGCACCGUGUCUGCCUGCCUAGACAUUGCCAUGCUUCACGCCAUAAUGAUAACGGACUGACCCUCUGAAACUGUAAGCCAGACCCAAUUAAAUAUUGCCCUUUAUAAGAGUUGCCUUGGUCAUAGUGUCUCUUCACAGCAAUAAAACCCAAACUAAGACACCUUUUUUAGCCAACAUUUUAGAACAGGGUCAAUAAAAGUUCAGGUCUCUAGAAGUUUCUUUGC